rnacentral:rRNA from 1 species
GGGCGUAAGUGUGCGCAGGCGGUUCUGUAAGUCAGAUGUGAAAUCCCCGGGCUUAACCUGGGAACUGCGUUUGAAACUGCAGAGCUAGAGUGCGGCAGAGGGAGGUGGAAUUCCAUGUGUAGCAGUGAAAUGCGUAGAGAUAUGGAAGAACAUCGAUGGCGAAGGCAACCUCCUGGGCUAGCACUGACGCUCAUGCACGAAAAGCGUGGGGAGCAAACAGGAUUAGAUACCCUAGGUAGUCCACGCCCUAAACUAUGUCAACUAGUUUGUCGGGUCUUAAUAGACUUGGUAACGUAGUCUAACGACGUGAAGUUGUACCGCCUGGGGAGUACGGUCGACAAGAUUAAAAACU